AGUGAACGCUGGCGGUAGGCCUAACACAUGCAAGUCGAACGGCAGCACAGUAAGAGCUUGCUCUUACGGGUGGCGAGUGGCGGACGGGUGCGGAAUACAUCGGAAUCUACUUUUUCGUGGGGGAUAACGUAGGGAAACUUACGCUAAUACCGCAUACGACCUACGGGUGAAAGCAGGGGAUCUUCGGACCUUGCGCGACUGAAUGAGCCGAUGUCGGAUUAGCUAGUUGGCGGGGUAAAGGCCCACCAAGGCGACGAUCCGUAGCUGGUCUGAGAGGAUGAUCAGCCACACUGGAACUGAGACACGGUCCAGACUCCUACGGGAGGCAGCAGUGGGGAAUAUUGGACAAUGGGCGCAAGCCUGAUCCAGCCAUACCGCGUGGGUGAAGAAGGCCUUCGGGUUGUAAAGCCCUUUUGUUGGGAAAGAAAAGCAGCAGGUUAAUACCCCGCUGUUCUGACGGUACCCAAAGAAUAAGCACCGGCUAACUUCGUG
rnacentral:rRNA from 1 species